AGGCUGGGGUUCUCCCACAUGAAUCACCUUGGGCUUCCCCUCCUACUUGCGUUAAUCCUUUUUUUUAUUUUUUACUUCCGUUCAGUAUUUUAAUCUGUUUAAAUUUCCCCCCAUCCCCUUCCGCCACAUCCCAGCUUUCUUCGUAUUUUCUUGACCCGAAAUGCAGUCACACAACCGAAGUAAUAUUCAUAAUGAAGCGUUCUGUUGCUAGGUAUUCCAAUAGGGUGUAUGUAUGAUAUAUUGCAUACUGUAUAAUACACACACACAUAAAUAUCACAACUUAGAACCUGAUAAAUUUGUGAGCCACAGUCCACUUCGUUAGAUGCAUGAAGUGAUAAUCCUGAAUUAGCAAGUGGAAGGAAUUUAGAAGGGUGAAGUCAGAAGAAAAUGAAAUGCAAAAAAGAGCAGGCAGUGAGGAUUUCCUUCUGAUCACACUUUUACGGUCUCAAACUGCAUGUUUGUGUACGUGUUGUAUAUACACACUUAGGCAUCUGAUGAAAUGGUGGACUGCGGUGAAAGUUUAUGCUAUAAUAAAUUCAUUACUCUAAGGUGCCACAAGACUAUCCUGGCGAUGGUAACCUAAAUAAAGCGUACAUUUAUGCUGCUACUGCACCACAGCCACGCUUGCACAUGUCAGAGCUCUCAGAAUGGUAGCAUAUGGGAUUUUUAUUUGUAUUUUUUUUCUUGGCAGUGAAAGAGAUCUCUGUAAGUACAAGAUUCGUUGCAAGACUCCAGGACCAGUUCUUUAUAUAUUUUCAAGAUUAAAGUAACAGAAUGGCAGCAUGUUUUAAAGGCAGCCUGAGUUCCAUUAUAGAAGCCAGAACAGUUGUGAACACAGGACAGCGAGCCUUUAAAAAUGAAGCAAAGAAAUGCACACUACUGUAUUGGCGUGCAAACCUGGUCCUUUGGCCCAUUUACCGUAAAUGUUCAUCACAAUUGCCAUUCAGUAUAGCCAAGGCUGUGUUUUCACCCCAACACUCUUUGGAAUAUUCUCCCUAGUGCUCUCAUAUGCCUUCAGCUCGAUUAAAUAUGGUGUGUACAUCCACUCAAGGAGCAACAGGGGUUUGUUCACCCUGGCUCAUCUCUGCAAAAUGAAGGUCUACCAGCCUUGCGUGUUGAGCAUGCUACUUUAUGGAAGUGAGUCAUGGGCAACUUACAACCACCAGGAGCGAUGUCUUAAUGCCUUUCACAUGUGCUGUGUCAGGAAGACUUUGAGCAUCACAUGGCAGGACACAGUCUCAAACCAAGAUGUGCUCUCCCAAACCCACAUCCCCAGCAUGUUCCCACUCCUGUCUCAGCGACGUCUAUGCUGGCUUAGUCAUGCCCACAAAAUGGAAGAAGGCAGGGUCCCCAAGGUCAUACUCUAUGGGGAGCUGGCUUCAGGAACUAGGCCCAUUGGCAGACUGCAUUACAAAUAUGUCUGCAAACAAGAUAUGAAAGCUGGUAACAUCAACUCCGCCAUGUGGGAAUCCCUUGCAGACAACUGCAGCACCUGGAGACAGACAGUCAGGUUGUGUAUCCACAGCAGUGAUCAGAGGAGGAAUGACCAUUGGGAGGAGCGCAGAGAGAAGAAACAUCGUGGUGCAUCUGCAGCAGCACAAAUGGAUGCCUUCAUCUGUCCCAGCUGCAACAAAACAUGUCUCUCCCGUAUCAGUUUCUACAACCACAGCAGGCACUAUAACUCUCCAACGGUUUGAUUUCAUCCUCAAAGGCGCAUUCCUCCAUUGUUUCCCGAGACAGACGGAUGCCAACCAACAUAGCUAGUGAAUUAGCUAGCAAUACAAACCCUCCAAGUGUCCCUAUUUUCUAGGGAUGUCCCUGAUUUAGAGAAGCCGUCCAGGUUUCUGAUUUGAUCCUGAAAUGUCCCGCUUUUCCUUAGGAUGUUCCUAUUUUCAUUGGAGAAAUGUUGGAGGUUAUGGAAUUAUCUGACCCCCAAACCGUCUGAAGGCAAUCCUAUAUAGGGAAGGUUUUUUAAUGUUUAAAACUUUUUAUGUUUUUAUAUAUGUUGGAAGCCACCCAGAGUGGCUGAGGCAACCUAGUAAGAUGUGUGGGGUAUAAAUAAAGGUAAAGGGACCCCUGACCAUUAGGUCCAGUCAUGGCUGACUCUGGGGUUGCGGCACUCAUCUCGCUUUACUGGCCGAGGGAGCCGGCUUACAGCUUCCGGGUCAUGUAGCCAGCAUGACUAAGCCGCUUCUGGCGAACCAGAGCAGUGCACGGAAAUGCCUGGGGUAUAAAUACUGUAGUAAAAUUAUCAUUAUGUUAUGGGAUGUCCCUAUUUUCAUCAGAGAAAUGUUGGAGGGUAUGGCAAUAUAAAUCCAGUACAGAAAAUAGAAGUAUGGGGUCAAUGUUAGGUUUUCAACAUUGCAAUGUUGAAAACAUCACGGUUUGACAAUAAACCGUGAUGUUGAAAGAAGUUGCUUUGGCCCCAGCUGGCGAUGCGCCGGGUGAAACUGUCUCGUUACCUGCUUAGGCUGUAACCUUGCUGUCUAAAGCAGCAUUUUUAUAUAUUCUGUCACUCCUGUUUUAUAUAAUAAACCAAGCUUUCUUUAUUUCUUUGUGUGUGAGCUUCUUGUGGGCAUAAGAUUAAGGGUUAACACUCAUCCAUAAAAGCACUCCAGCAAAAGAUCCUAAACCCCACAGCAGUGUGUACAGUAGAUACAUGAGGGCUGGCUGUGCACAUGUGAGUCCAGUUACACACUCGUAACAUGGAUGUGGUUGUGAAAUUAGCACAUGCAAUCUUUGAACAUUGCACCAUACACAUGUGACUUAUGACACAGCCACAGCAUUCACAAUGGAGGUUUCCUGAUCCCUUUUUAUUUCUGGAGGGUAUGAGAAAUGAAGGCGGCAAAUGUAUCAGAAAGGAAAUGACUUUGUAUGCAGUCAAGAGGAAAGGUUAAACCUGGCCAGGUGAAGCUAUUACUGAGUGCCUGGAUAACGCUUAAAAUGAGAUGUCAUUAUACAAAUUGCAAAUCAUGAAUCUACAGGGUUUACAGACUUGCACAACUACAUUCUAAAGCCUCAAUACAUUGAAAGGUGAACAUAUACAUUACCAUUUAUAGUGAGGAUUCAUGUAUUUAUUUUUACAGUAGAACGGCUUAUAGGAUGAUGACUAGACUUGUUAUUGUUAGAGCCAGGCACGUUUGAUACUGACUUGUUAGAGCAAAACAGCCCCGUUCAUCAAAUGCUAUCAAAAAUAAUUCAAGAGGCAGGAUAGAUUAUUAGGCUGUUAGUCAUAUAAUAAAAGUAAUAGACAUUAAUAAGAACUUUUCUCAUAAGGAAAGCAGUGUAGUAUAGUAGAUAGAGUUCUGGAUAAAGGAGAGAAGGAUUCAAAGCCAUAUAAGUCAUGAAACUUACUGCAUGACCUUGGGUCAGUUACUGUCUUUGAGCUUGACCUACCUUACAGGGCUGUUUUGAGGAUAAAAAUAGGUUGGACUCUCCUGAGUCCUAUGAAGGAAAAGUGGGACAGAAAGAAAAGUGAUAAUAACAAUUCAUAUUUAAUUAGAAUAAUAAACAUACUUAAUUAGAAUGAAUUUAUGGUAAUGCCCCCCCGAAUCCUUAUAGCGUCACAUAUUUUGAUGUGAGUCAGAAUGCAUGCCGUUAUCUAUGUCCUGCACAUCUGGAUUGAGAUUGAGAUGAACAUCCUUUGCAUGUGCUGGAACGUGAGAUUAUAUCUCAUCAUCAUUGCAUUAUGAGUAUUUACUCACUAAAACUGUUUAAAUUAUAGUUAGAUGUAAUUCACCAUAAAUUAUAUUGUGAUUCAGUAAUCAAAUAUAUUUCUUAUGUCACACUCACAAAUGUUUGUUUAUCAGAGGCAGAGUGGUGUAGUGGUUAGGGUGUCAGACUCGGUCGUCCUGGGAGACCAGGGUUCAGAUCGCCACUCACCCAUGAAGCUCGCUGAGUGAUCUGAGGCCAGUUCUCACUCUCAUCCUAACCUACCUCAUAGAGUUGUAGAGAGAAUAAAAUGGAGAGUAGGAGUACUAUGGACACCACCUUGAGCUCCUUGAAGGAAAGGUGAGAUACAAAUGUAAUAAGAAAUGAAUAAAUAGUCCACCUUGCCUCCAAAGAGCUAACAGUAGCAUAUGUGAUCCUUCCCCUUGCUCAUUUUUUAUUGUCACAACAACCCUGUGAGGAAGGUUAAACAAAGACAUAGUGACUGUCCCAAGCUCACCUGGUGAGUUUCAUGACUGAGGAGGGAUUUGAAUCCUAGCAUUAUAGGUUCCAAUCCCACAUUCUGAUCACUGCAACACACUGGUUGUCAUAUUGUACCUUUUUUUGCAUUGUGUGUGUGCAAUGUUCUCUCUCUCUCUCUUUCUCUCUCUCUCUUUCUCUCACUGCUUUAGGGAUGACUGAUUCUUCCCUGUUUUACUGCACUGGACUUAAAUCUGCAACCUCAGGAUAUCGCCAAAGCUACCAUGUACAAAUGUAGGUGUUAAACAGGCAGUAUGAACAAUACAGGAAUUAAAGAAUGUUACAGUAUGUUCCUAUUAAUCCAGCUUUUCCGCAUCUGUUUUCUCAGGCUUUUGCAGAAAUAAUUCCAACUUCUUUAAACAUUUAAGCUAUGGGGACUUCCGGGUCAGCGCCAUCGGUGAAUGGCGGAGUUCCUCCGACCGGAGGAACGGGCUCCGUGGAAACUGGGUCUUCCCACCGCGGCGAAGGUGGGGACCCGCUAGAAAUCCCAGGCGGAGGAAGCCUGGGAACGUGGGGUUCGGCAGGGCACCAGGAGCGCCCCCCUACUCACCGGGAACCCCAUUUUGGGGCGCCGGAGCGAAGUGGGGUGAGUGGCACGGUGCUGCGAACUGAUUGCUAUUUUCACGGAGUGAAGCCGCACAGCCAUUGCCGGAGAGCGCUGACUUUUUCCUGUGGACAAUUGGAUUUAAAACAAGUACCCGUGAGUAGAAACGGAAAAUUGGAUUAAGAAAUAUCUCAAUUGGCACUGAAGCGGGAAGGUUCAAAACAGGAAGUCCGCCUUCCGCUUUUUGUAUAUAGACUAAAGCAAAAACUUUGUAAGCUAAAGCCUGGAAAGCUGUUAAAAAGUCUAAAUUUCCUUCAUUCAGAAUUACUGAAACCCCCUUGGAAGCAGGAGAAAAGGGGGGGGGGACUUUGUUCAACCCUAGCAGGAGAAGGAGUGAAGAAGGAUAAGUUUCCACUGUCUCUAACCUGGGAACGGGGUGUCAGAGACAGAAAUUGUUGGAGAGGUUCAUCGACUGUGAAUGGAACACUUUGACAGAUAGCUAAAGAAGAGAAACAAACUGAUUCCAAUGUUGCCUUUUGCAUUCU